AACGAACGCUGGCGGCAGGCCUAACACAUGCAAGUCGAGCGAGAUCUUCGGGUCUAGCGGCGGACGGGUGAGUAACGCGUGGGAAUAUGCCUCUUGGUACGGAAUAGCCUCGGGAAACUGGGAGUAAUACCGUAUGUGCCCUUUGGGGGAAAGAUUUAUCGCCAAGAGAUUAGCCCGCGUUGGAUUAGGUAGUUGGUGGGGUAAUGGCCUACCAAGCCGACGAUCCAUAGCUGGUUUGAGAGGAUGAUCAGCCACACUGUGACUGAGACACGGCCCAGACUCCUACGGGAGGCAGCAGUGGGGAAUCUUAGACAAUGGGGGCAACCCUGAUCGAGCCAUGCCGCGUGAGUGAUGAAGGCCUUAGGGUUGUAAAGCUCUUUCAGCUGGGAAGAUAAUGACGGUACCAGCAGAAGAAGCCCCGGCUAACUCCGUG
rnacentral:rRNA from 1 species